GACGAACGCUGGCGGCGUGCUUAACACAUGCAAGUCGAACGGCAAGGCCCUGCUUUUGUGGGGUGCUCGAGUGGCGAACGGGUGCGUAACACGUGAGUAACCUGCCCUUGUCUUUGGUAUAACUUCAGGAAACUGGGGCUAAUACCGGAUAGGAUCUCCUGCUGCAUGGUGGGGGUUGGAAAGUUUCGGCGGUUGGGGAUGGACUCGCGGCUUAUCAGCUUGUUGGUGGGGUAGUGGCUGACCAAGGCUUUGACGGGUAGCCGGCCUGAGAGGGUGACCGGCCACAAUGGGACUGAGGGACGGCGCAGACUGCAAAGGGAGGCAGCAGUGGGGAAUAUUGCACAAUGGGCGGAAGCCUGAUGCAGCAACGCCGCGUGCGGGAUGACGGCCUUCGGGGUGUAAACCGCUUUCGCCUGUGACGAAGCGUGAGUGACGGUAAUGGGUAAAGAAGCACCGGCUAACUACGUG
rnacentral:rRNA from 1 species